UACGGGGGGGGCAAGCGUUGUUCGGAAUUACUGGGCGUAAAGGGCGCGUAGGCGGUCUACUAAGUUGGAUGUGAAAACUCUGGGCUUAACCCAGAGCCUGCAUUCAAAACUGAUAGGCUGGAGUUCUGGAGGGGAUAGCGGAAUUCCUGGUGUAGCGGUGAAAUGCGUAGAUAUCGGGAGGAACACCCGUAGCGAAGGCGGCACUCUGGGCCGGAACUGACGCUGAGGAGCGAAAGCGUGGGGAGCAAACAGG
rnacentral:rRNA from 1 species